GACGAACGCUGGCGGCGUGCCUAAUACAUGCAAGUAGGACGCAGUUGCGAACGGGAGAGUAACGCGUAGGUAACUACCUAUUAGAGGGGGAUAACUAUUGGAAACAAUAGCGAAUACCGCAUACUAGUAGAUGGACCUGCGUUGUAUUAUUUAGUAGGUAGGGUAAUGGCCUACCUAGGCAAUGAUACAUAGCCGACCUUAUAGGGUGAUCGGCCACACUGGGAAUGGGGCACGGCCCAGACUCCGACGGGAGGCAGCAGUAGGGAAUCUUCGGAAAUGGGGGGAACGCUGACCGAGCAACGCCGCGGGAGUGAAGAAGGGUUUCGGGUCGUAAAGCUCUGUUGUUAAGGAAGCGGUACCUGACCAGAAAGGGACGGCUAACUACGUGCCAGCAGCCGCGGUAAUAC
rnacentral:rRNA from 1 species